rnacentral:rRNA from 1 species
AGCAGAGUUUGAUCCUGGCUCAGAGCGAACGCUGGCGGCAGGCUUAACACAUGCAAGUCGAGCGGGCGUAGCAAUACGUCAGUGGCGGACGGGUGAGUAACACGUGGGAAUAUGCCUUUCGGUUCGGAACAACUCGGGGAAACCCGUGCUAAUUCCGGAUACGCCCUUACGGGGAAAGAUUUAUCGCCGAAAGAUUAGCCCGCGUUGGAUUAGCUAGUUGGUGAGGUAAAGGCUCACCAAGGCGACGAUCCAUAGCUGGUUUGAGAGAACGACCAGCCACACUGGGACUGAGACACGGCCCAGACUCCUACGGGAGGCAGCAGUGGGGAAUCUUGGACAAUGGGCGCAAGCCUGAUCCAGCCAUGCCGCGUGAGUGAUGAAGGCCUUCGGGUUGUAAAACUCUUUUGGCGGGGACGAUAAUGACGGUACCCGCAGAAUAAGCUCCGGCUAACUUCGUGCCAGCAGCCGCGGUAG